rnacentral:rRNA from 1 species
GACGAACGCUGGCGGCGUGCUUAACACAUGCAAGUCGAGCGGAAAGGCCCUUUCGGGGGUACUCGAGCGGCGAACGGGUGAGUAACACGUGAGCAACCUGCCCUUCACUCUGGGAUAAGCCUGGGAAACCGGGUCUAAUACCGGAUGCGACACGCCUCCGCAUGGGGUGCGUGUGGAAAGUUUUUUCGGUGGGGGAUGGGCUCGCGGCCUAUCAGCUUGUUGGUGGGGUAGUGGCCUACCAAGGCGACGACGGGUAGCCGGCCUGAGAGGGCGACCGGCCACACUGGGACUGAGACACGGCCCAGACUCCUACGGGAGGCAGCAGUGGGGAAUACUGCGCAAUGGGCGGAAGCCUGACGCAGCGACGCCGCGUGGGGGAUGACGGCCUUCGGGUUGUAAACCUCUUUCAGCGGGGACGAAGGUGACGUGUACCCGCAGAAGAAGCGCCGGCUAACUACGUGCCAGCCGCCGCAGUAA